UACGGGGGGGGUAAGCGUUGUUCGGAAUUACUGGGCGUAAAGGGCUCGUAGGCGGCCAACUAAGUCAGACGUGAAAUCCCUCAGCUUAACUGGGGAACUGCGUCUGAUACUGGAUGGCUUGGAUUCGGGAGAGGAAUGCGGAAUUCCAGGUGUAGCGGUGAAAUGCGCAGAUAUCAGGAGGAACACCGAUGGCGAAGGCAGGUCUCUGGGCAUUAACUGACGCUGAGGAGCGAAAGCCAGGGGAGCAAACGGG
rnacentral:rRNA from 1 species